UACGGAGGAUCCAAGCGUUAUCCGGAUUUAUUGGGUUUAAAGGGUGCGUAGGCGGCCUGUUAAGUCAGAGGUGAAAGACGGUAGCUCAACUAUCGCAGUGCCCUUGAUACUGAUGGGCUUGAAUGGACUAGAGGUAGGCGGAAUGAGACAAGUAGCGGUGAAAUGCAUAGAUAUGUCUCAGAACACCGAUUGCGAAGGCAGCUUACUAUGGUUUAAUUGACGCUGAGGCACGAAAGCGUGGGGAUCAAACAGG
rnacentral:rRNA from 1 species